GUCAGGGGGCGUAUUAUGAACUCUUUAAAAUCCAGUCAGUUUCCAGGCAGUUCAGUUUACGGCCUUAAACUGAAUUGUUCUUUUUCGUAUUAUGAGGGUCCAAAUUCAAACCGUAUUCUGCCUGGAUAGUUUGUCUCUGGCUGGUUAGUGGAUUUUCUCGCGCUGCGUUCGGAUACGCAUACAUUCGUUGCAACGUUAAGUUGAGUUUUUGUGUGUCACUUUUUGGACAAAAUAUUAAUUAAAUAAAUGUAAAUUAAAUAUAGAAAACAGUAAUUAAGAUACAAUGGUAGAAUUUGUGUAAUAUACAAAAAUAUUCCAGACAGUUUUAUUGUCUUUUUUAAUAAUUCGGAUUUAUUUGUAAAAAAUAUUUUCAUUGUAAUAUCCAAACGAACUUUGUGCAUCUACUUAAAAUUCCGCGCAAAGUACUUAAUUCUGAUUUUAAUGUACAAUUUGAAACUUAGCCUUUCCAUGACUUUAUACGCAAGUUAAAUUUAAUAAUUCAAUUAUUGUGAAAAAUAUACCUAAUGUAACAUCACGGACUGAAACCCCUGGCCAACGUCGUGUAUCGUACCGGUAAUUUAAAAUUAUAUGGGAUUUUUAAAAUCCCAUAGGGAAAUGGCAAGUGGCUUUAAUAAGUCCGCCCAAGAAUACCAUACCAAUCGCUUGUGUGAGGACGUCGCUCAACAAUUAAACUCCUUAGGAAAAGGGGGGUUUUAAAGACUGGAAAGGAUUGUCAAGUUUAAGUGUUAUAAGAUUAAUUACAUAGAUGAAGAUUAUUUGAAACAUAAGAGAAUAAUUAAUGGAUAAAUAUUAUUUGAAACAUAUGAGAUUAAUUACAUGGAUACAGAUUAUUUGAAACAUAUGUCUAAGUGUUAUGGUCAUUUAAUAUUUAAGUAAACAAUUUAUUGUUAGUAUAUAAGUAGCUUUAGAGAUGUAUAAUCAUUAACAUAUUUUGCAUGUCUAAAAUCUUGUUUAUUGUUAAUUUAUAUAAUUAUAUUAAAAAAAGAUAUUAAAAGUGCUUAUAUUAUUAAACAUGUCUUUUAAUUUAUAUUUC